rnacentral:tRNA from 2 species
AGGACUAUAGCUCAGUUGGUUAGAGCGCUACCUUGACAUGGUAGAGGUCGGCGAUUCGAGUUCGCCUAGUCCUACCA